CUGCAUGUAAAUCCAAGAGCUGUGGCUCAACAAAAAUAGCCACAGGGUCUCCAAUUACAUGCAAUAGCAAGGAGGAGGGACUUUGGUGGCGAGGCCCCUAAUGCCUGUAGCUGUCACUCACCUCUCCUACAAUG
ensembl:snoRNA